AUCUACUAAGGGCUGUGGCCCUUGUUAUGUACCUGUGAUAUGACAAGCCUGUAAUCUCCCAAUAUUCGUUCAUUCUCUUCAGUAAACGUUAUUGAACAUGUGCUACCGUGCUAGGUGCUAUGGAGGAUACAAAGAUGAAUGAAGUAUGAUCCCUGACCUCAAGAAAAGAUCAAAGCUUUAAGAUUUCUCUGCUAGAAACAUCCAGUGAUGAUCCUGAGAGAACAGCAGAGAUGAACAGACCUGCAUCCUGGGCAUAGAAGAACCUGUGCAUGCAUAAGUCUUUCCAUCUAGGAGCUGUUCGUGGCUACCUUGCAGCAUAAGUACAGGGGUGCUGCAUGUACCUGCUCACAUUACCCAAGAUGGGAGACCACAGACAAUUUCAUUCCUGGAGUCAGGAGGACCUGAGUUCAAAUCUGUCCUCAGACAGAUAGUAUGAUUUCCCAAAUCCAACCUGUUAGCCAGAGAAAGAAGACUUCUUAGACAUUACCGGCCUUGGAGAUUGCUUCAAGAGUAACUCAAAUUCAAGAGUUUGGAAGAGAAGGGAAUUCCCAAGUAGUACAUCUCUUGGAAAGAGAAAAGGAUUGCCCAGCUUUUAAGAAGAGAUCCAAAGCACAGACACAGACGGCUGAGCUAGAGAGACUCCGAACCCAAGCCUGCAUUUCAAGAUCAGAUGUACUGAAAUUUCAGUGGAGAUGUCGCAGUGAGAUGGAAUGAACAGUAGACUUACUAUAGGAGAGCUAGAACAGAGCUAAGUCAAAGUGAUACCCUGGUGCUGACAAGGUACUCCACAUGCUCCUGUCUGAAGAUGAUAUUGUGCUAAGCCCCAGAACCCUGUGGAGUCACCCAGACCCUAAAGGAAAUCCAUGACACAUCUGAAGGGGAGGUACGAAUGAUGGAACAGUACAAUCUCUGAAGAAAUGGAGCUGAAGAUCACCUAAAGGUCAAUGGAGAGAUGCACGAUGAAUACUAGAGAAAAGGCUGGAGUAGUUGGAAGAUCACUGGAGGAGAGUUAAAGCUUGAUGCUGCAUGAAGAGCUGUUGAGCCUGAUUACUCUGGGACCAUCUUACAAUCUGAAAGAGGAGAAACCUCUCAGGGGUAUCUGUAUUGCCCCAUGGGGUUCGAGAGAGAAACUGAGUGGGAAAGAGAGAUUUUACAUUCCUUUUUCGGGGAGCCGUGCUUUGCUGUGAGAAAAAGCUUGGGUCUAUUUGCGCAAAACCUAAUCCUCUGCUCUUGGUAGAUGUGGUGAGUCGGGCUGUUUUCCACUUUAAAGGGAUGACUUACCACCGAAAGGGCACAACACUUUUCUCCAUGCGCUGUUAAGGGUGGCUAUGAGCAAAACCUGCUUGUCACUGCUUGAUCAGCUCAAGAGCAGAUAUGGAGCACUUUUGCCCAGCAAGAGAAUGGCAAGGACUAGGAAGAAAGCAGAUAGCAGAGAAAUAGUUUUAUGUGGUACAAAUUUCAUCUGAAGGGAAAAAGGGCAUUAAAGCCUACAGGCCAGAGCUGUGAGUUGAACCAUGCACAUGGAUUUCUGUACUCAUAGCCCUUCCUGAUGGGUUUUUGUAAGCAUGUACCCACUCUUCCCCAUGGAAACUAUGUACAAUUGUGGGAAAGUAUGCCCCACAUGUCUGGAUGAACCAUUAUGAUAAUUCUUGUUCUGGACUUCUAUUUAGUAAAUGCUAUAAUUACUCCUAUUUUUGCCUUCCAUUUGAGUACAUGUUAUGAUUAUUAUUGCUUUUGUCUUAUCAUUCAGUAAAUGCUUUUUUUUUGUUUAAAAGUUGAUGGUCAACAAUCACAAAAGCAAAAGAAAAUAUUGCAAAAUUACGAAGAAGAAACACAGCCCUAAAGAAGAGACAUAAGAAGAUAUCCUGCUCCUCAACUUAUUUGUGGAGGCAGGAAGUCCAUGGGGAUAGAACAUUGUCUAUGUUCAUAUUUUUAAUAUAUUUAUACAAAAUUCUUGU